rnacentral:rRNA from 1 species
AGUGAACGCUGGCGGUAGGCCUAACACAUGCAAGUCGAACGGCAGCACAGUAAGAGCUUGCUCUUACGGGUGGCGAGUGGCGGACGGGUGAGGAAUACAUCGGAAUCUACUUUUUCGUGGGGGAUAACGUAGGGAAACUUACGCUAAUACCGCAUACGGCCUACGGGUGAAAGCAGGGGAUCUUCGGACCUUGCGCGAUUGAAUGAGCCGAUGUCGGAUUAGCUAGUUGGCGGGGUAAAGGCCCACCAAGGCGACGAUCCGUAGCUGGUCUGAGAGGAUGAUCAGCCACACUGGAACUGAGACACGGUCCAGACUCCUACGGGAGGCAGCAGUGGGGAAUAUUGGACAAUGGGCGCAAGCCUGAUCCAGCCAUACCGCGUGUGUGAAGAAGGCCUUCGGGUUGUAAAGCCCUUUUGUUGGGAAAGAAAAGCAGCAGGUUAAUACCCCGCUGUUCUGACGGUACCCAAAGAAUAAGCACCGGCUAACUUCGUG